CCUACGGGUGGCAGCAGUCGAGAAUCAUUCACAAUGGGGGAAACCCUGAUGGUGCGACGCCGCGUGGGGGAAUGAAGGUCUUCGGAUUGUAAACCCCUGUCAUGUGGGAGCAAAUUAAAAAGAUAGUACCACAAGAGGAAGAGACGGCCAACUCUGUGCCAGCAGCCGCGGUACUACAGAGGUCUCAAGCGUUGUUCGGAAUCACUGGGCGUAAAGCGUGCGUAGGCUGUUUCGUAAGUCGGGUGUGAAAGGCGCGGGCUCAACCCGCGGACGGCACAUGAUACUGCGAGACUAGAGUAAUGGAGGGGGAACCGGAAUUCUCGGUGUAGCAGUGAAAUGCGUAGAUAUCGAGAGGAACACUCGUGGCGAAGGCGGGUUCCUGGACAUUAACUGACGCUGAGGCACGAAGGCCAGGGGAGCGAAAGGGAUUAGAUACCCGAGUAGUC
rnacentral:rRNA from 1 species